rnacentral:tRNA from 1 species
GGGGCUUUAACUUAAUGGUAGAGUAUUAGUUUUGCAUACUAAAGGUUAAGGGUUCAAGUCCCUUAGGUUCCAC